CUAUAAUUGGAGCUGUUGUUGGAGUUGUAAUUGCAUUACUAGUGAUACUUAUACUAUCAAUACUUACUGUUGGAUUGAUAGCAAAGAAAAGGUCUAGUAAAUCUGAUAAACAUGAAAUGCUUCCAUUAGCAAACCAGCCUAACCAAGAUGCAAAAGAUACAAAGCAUGAAGAAUCCCUUAUCAAUGAUUAUGAGGCAGAAAC